UUUUUUAUUUUUUUGCUUUUUAGGGCUGCAUUUGUGGCAUAUGAAAGUUCCCAGGCUAGGGGUUGAAUAGGAGCUACAGCUGCCAGCCUACACCACAGCCACAGCAACACAAGAUCCAAGCCUACAUCUGGGACCUACACCACAGCUCACGACAACGCCAGAUCCUUAACCCUCUGAGCAAGGCCAGGGAUUGAACCUGCAUUCUCACAGAUACUAGUAGGGUUUGUCACCGCUGAGCCAUGAUGGGAACUCAGAAGACCAUUUCUAAACAGACACAUUGAGAAGUGCCCUUUGCUUAUUCCUGGCAUUUUCUCUUACAUAUUUUUAAAUUACAUACAACAAAAUUCUGUUUCAGUCAACUGGCUCUUUUUUCUUUGGAAAAUAAAGUUUUAUUAUUGAGUAGUUUUAUAUCUGGGUUCCCAGUAUUUUCUCUAAAUAGAAGCAUGAAAAAUCCGAGUUAAGUUUUUCUUCAUCAAGAGGGUACUGCCUCACUCCUUAAUGACUUUAUUUAGAAACUGUACUUCUCAGCAAUUCUUUCAAAAUUCAGCUUAAUCUGGAGUUCCCUUCAUGGCGCAGUGGUUAACGAAUCCGACUAGGAACCAUGAGGUUGCAAGUUCGGUCCCUGCCCUUGCUCAGUGGGUUAACGAUCCGGCAUUGCCCCAACAUGCAGCACGCCACGUAUUCAAAACUUAGGUAUUCUGGGUUCAGUAAGGAAAACAUGUUGCCAUGAACUUACGACAGCCCACUGUGGAAAUUACUAGUUUCUUUCUCAAUGACAUAAUAUCACAAGAACUAAAAGCAGGUCUGCAGACCAAGGUCGUGGUCAUUCCAAAUAUCCUCAAUGCUACCUUAUGGACGAGGGCAACUGGACCUAUCACUCAUCACAACUGUGGAUUCAUUCACUCACUAUCUUGACAGGUGAGAUUCCAUUCUGAGGUUCCUCUAUCACUCUGUAUCAAUCUGCCCCUUCGAUUGGAGACAACCAUUCCGUUUAGGGUUCCACCUGCUGCUUUUUAUUUCAAACUUCAGUUGAAUCCUUUCCCAGGAUUCUUAUCCCCUGGCAUUUCAUCAUGGCCACAGGCCAACUUUCAUGGAUCUGCACGAAAUGCCAGGAGUCUCCAAUCAAAGAGAGCCUCUGACCUAAAUCACCUCCAUAGUCUUCAAAGCCCGUGUCCCAGGGUCUUACCAGCCCAGACCCUACGAUCCCCAAAGGCCCUUUCUCCAUCUAUCUUUGCUAUUGGAAAAGCCUGGCCCUGAGGUCUGCACGCAGGUGAUAUGAGCUAAAAAGAGUGAAACAAGAGGGCAGCUGAGCUGCAUUUCACGUGGUCCAUCCUGACAUUGAAACAGGUGAAAAGAGUGACAGUUCCUUCAGCAGCUAACCUGCACCAGGUGUUCUGCAUGAAUUACUCUCAACCAACCUUGUUUUUUUUCACAUUACAAAGGUUAGGCUAUUUAGAUUCUUAACAAGGUAACUUGCUCAAACUCACCGGAAGAACAAGAGCCAGAAUUCCAACAACAAUCUGAUUUCAAAAUGUUUUCGUUUUGUUUUGACCACCAUCCAUCCCAAACUUCCCACUGAAUCCAGUUGAAAAUAUACAAUUCCACCUAUAUUAGGGUUGCACCUCCUGUUCUUUAUUUUAAACUUCAAUCUAACCUAUUGCCUGAAUUCGCAUCCACAAGCAUUUCAUCUGGGGCACAGACCAACUUUCAUGGAACUCAGGGCCUCCUGCCUGAUUUAUCUUUAUUCUCCUCAAAGCACUGUGACCAGGUGACCAGAGUCUUGACCCCAGCAGCCAGCCCCUCCCCCCCAAUAAACCUUCGCUAUUUGGAAUAGCUCCGCUAUUUGUUGUUGGAAACAACCUUGAGCUUUUGCCUGAAAUACUCUUCUGUCCAUCCCUGUUUGACCAACACUCUCAGCCAGAGAUAGCCAGAACUUUGUAGAGACUUCAGGAGAUGCAGCAAAGAAUACUAAGUAAAGGAAGGAGCCCAAGGCAUAUUCUAACAGCUCACGGCCGGGUAUCCGCGGGAGCUCCUGAUCCUGUUCCGGAUAAAGGUGACCAGCCUGGUCACGCCAAUAGGGGGGUGGUGUGGGCAUGAAGUAGCGGACUCACCUGAGGAAGAAGAGAUAGGAGUAAUCCUGGACCACGGUGGCAGUGGCAAGAGAAAUAACCCAGGCCGCUGAGGUUGAGCCUGAAACCCGGGGCACCUGGAGCAUGACGCCCAAGCCUGGUCGCUGGGCAUCUGGAUCUCGGCGGCGCAGGAGAGGCCCGCGUCGCUGGCCCCCUUCCGCCCGAGCAGGUAGCUGUGAAGGCCGUGCCCCUACUGGUGCAGCGCCAGUACCUCGUCAGGAUGACCUGGGCCAGCUCCGUGCGGCGGCCAUCGCUCAGCAGUCUCCACUCAGGGCAGCUGGAAGCCGCGGCGGGCGCGGGCCGGGAGGGCCAAGGCAGAGCAGCAGCAGGCUCAGCAAGCGAACGGCGAGGGUGGCGCUGGGCGGCGGGACGCGGUGCAGCCGGGGCGCACAAAGUCUGUGCCCACCCGGGGAGGCCCGGGGCUCGCCGGCAGAGUGCGGGCCUCGGGGAGCCCCGAGCGCCUGGCCCAAGGUGCCUCCGGGAAAGCGCAACUGCCGGCGCUGGGCUUGCGUGUUUCUCUCCCGACAGCCAGGCUCACCCAGCCGGCCUCCUCUUGCUGUGCUUCAAAAGGGGCGCAGGAACCGCUGUCCGCAGCCGGACCGC
rnacentral:lncRNA from 1 species